UGGGGAAUAUUGCACAAUGGGCGAAAGCCUGAUGCAGCCAUACCGCGUGUGUGAAGAAGGCCUUCGGGUUGUAAAGCACUUUCGUUAGGGAAGAAAGGUGCGAGGUUAAUAACCUCGUACUGUGACGGUACCUAAAUAAGAAGCACCGGCUAACUCCGUGCCAGCAGCCGCGGUAAUACGGAGGGUGCAAGCGUUAAUCGGAAUCACUGGGCGUAAAGCGCGCGUAGGCGGCUUGGUAAGUCAGAUGUGAAAGCCCCGGGCUCAACCUGGGAAUUGCAUUUGAUACUGCCAAACUAGAGUGUAGUAGAGGGAAGUGGAAUUCCGAGUGUAGCGGUGAAAUGCGUAGAUAUUCGGAGGAACAUCAGUGGCGAAGGCGACUUCCUGGACUAACACUGACGCUGAGGUGCGAAAGCGUGGGUAGCAAACAGGAUUAGAUACCCUGGUAGUCCACGCCGUAAACGAUGUCUACUAGUCGUUGGGGGGCUUGUCCCUUUAGUGGCGCAGUUAACGCGUUAAGUAGACCGCCUGGGGAGUACGGCCGCAAGGCUA
rnacentral:rRNA from 1 species